rnacentral:rRNA from 1 species
CACCGCGGUUAUACGAAAGACCCCAGUUGAUGGGCACGGCGUAAAGGGUGGUUAAGGAACACAAAAAUAAAGCUAAAGACCCUCUAGGCUGUUAUACGCAUUACGAGGAAACGAAGCCCUAACACGAAAGUAGCUUUAAAUAACUAUCCUGAUGCCACGAAAACCAAGAAA